CUACGGGAGGCAGCAGUGGGGAAUUUUCCGCAAUGGGCGAAAGCCUGACGGAGCAACGCCGCGUGAGGGAGGAAGGUCUUUGGAUUGUAAACCUCUUUUCUCAAGGAAGAAGUUCUGACGGUACUUGAGGAAUCAGCCUCGGCUAACUCCGUGCCAGCAGCCGCGGUAAUACGGGGGAGGCAAGCGUUAUCCGGAAUUAUUGGGCGUAAAGCGUCCGCAGGUGGUCAGCCAAGUCUGCCGUCAAAUCAGGUUGCUUAACGACCUAAAGGCGGUGGAAACUGGCAGACUAGAGAGCAGUAGGGGUAGCAGGAAUUCCCAGUGUAGCGGUGAAAUGCGUAGAGAUUGGGAAGAACAUCGGUGGCGAAAGCGUGCUACUGGGCUGUAUCUGACACUCAGGGACGAAAGCUAGGGGAGCGAAAGGGAUUAGAUACCCCUGUAGUCCUAGCCGUAAACGAUGGAU
rnacentral:rRNA from 1 species